rnacentral:rRNA from 1 species
AGUCGAGCGCCCCGCAGGGGAGCGGCAGACGGGUGAGUAACGCGUGGGAAUCUACCCUUUUCUACGGAAUAACGCAGGGAAACUUGUGCUAAUACCGUAUAAGCCCUUCGGGGGAAAGAUUUAUCGGGAAAGGAUGAGCCCGCGUUGGAUUAGCUAGUUGGUGGGGUAAAGGCCUACCAAGGCGACGAUCCAUAGCUGGUCUGAGAGGAUGAUCAGCCACAUUGGGACUGAGACACGGCCCAAACUCCUACGGGAGGCAGCAGUGGGGAAUAUUGGACAAUGGGCGCAAGCCUGAUCCAGCCAUGCCGCGUGAGUGAUGAAGGCCCUAGGGUUGUAAAGCUCUUUCACCGGUGAAGAUAAUGACGGUAACCGGAGAAGAAGCCCCGGCUAACUUCGUGCCAGCAGCCGCGGUAAUACGAAGGGGGCUAGCGUUGUUCGGAAUUACUGGGCGUAAAGCGCACGUAGGCGGAUUGUUAAGUGAGGGGUGAAAUCCCAGGGCUCAACCCUGGAACUGCCUUUCAUACUGGCAAUCUAGAGUCCAGAAGAGGUGAGUGGAAUUCCGAGUGUAGAGGUGAAAUUCGUAGAUAUUCGGAGGAACACCAGUGGCGAAGGCGGCUCACUGGUCUGGUACUGACGC